UCACAAAUAAUUUAGUCCAACUGAUGGAGAGGAGCCCAUAGCCCAUAUCCCACAGCCCAUUUACUACUCGUAUUAGGGUUUCACUCUUUAGCCGUCAAUUCUUGCCCUCCCCCCUCUUUAUCUUCUCUCCUCUUUCAUUUCCCUUCAUUUUCAAUCUUUUACUCACUCAAUCUAUCUUUGCCGCCGUCACUAAGUCUCCCUUUGCCGCCGUCACUCAGUCUCCCUUAUUUUUCUAUCUAAAUUCCUUAAUUUUUUCGUUGCUUUACUCUUAAAUUAGUAUUGUGAUUUCAUGGGUAAUGGGUUUUGUGGGUUUGUGAGGGUGGUGUUCAUGGCCAGAUCUGGGUUCCUGGUGGGGGGAUGGUUGUUGGGCACUACGCUUUAUUGUGGCAAAUUUACUCUUUAAUGGCGCCUCUUCCUUCCCUAAACACUACUUGCCUUCCUCUAUCAGCAUAUUCAGGGUGUUGAGGCUUCAAAAGGGUCACAAAUACUGCUUGCUUGGCCGUCUAUCAAUGGAAGUCAGUUGGAACCACCACGACACCAUCAGGGAAUUGCAAUGAAAGGAGUCUUGUGCAAUUUAUUGGCUAUUAACUUAGAUGACGAGUUGAAGACUUAUAAGAGAAAAGUAGACUUUUCUCACUGCUGUUGAAUCAGAUAACCUCAUAGUCUUGAAGAAUGCAGAGAUACAUCCAGGAAAAAGGCCUGAAGUGGAGCAAUGAAGCAAUGGUAUGGUAAAGGUGUCAUUGAGUCAUAACAAAAUCGAUAAGAUUCCAAGUGGUAUGGCAUCUUUGACCCCAGAACUUACUAUGCUGAUGCUCAAUAAUAAUCCUCUAACAAGGAUCCCUGAAUCAUUCUUUAUGAACAUGCGAGCCCAAGUGGUAAAGUUGUGGAGACUACUAUAAACAGGAGGACUAGCAAUGGAGUUGGUAAUAGAUCAAGUAGGUCGACCAGAUCGGAAGAUGAAGUGAAAACUGAUGCUGUCACAGAAUUUGAGAUCAAAGUUGCACUAACUUGAAAAAUUGGUGGAAGAUGUAAAUGAUUUAACAUUAAUUUAGUGGAAAAUCAUUUAAAUCUCUUAUUGCAA